rfam:Triticum aestivum genome assembly, contig: Triticum_aestivum_CS42_TGACv1_scaffold_307895_4AS
UAAGUACUCCCUCCGUCCGAGAAUACUGUCAUCAAAAAUAAAAAAAGAAUGUAUCUAGAACUAAUAUACAUAUAGAUACAUCCCCUUUUAUUCAUUUUAAUGACAAGUAUUUUCGGACAGAGGGAGUACAAA